rnacentral:lncRNA from 1 species
UUUCUGGACAUUAUCGUGAUAACGUACGUAAUAAUGAUUAAAAUUUCUAAUAUUCAACAUCAUAAAAUGUGGACGAAGUCAGUGAAUCGCUGUUUUGUUUGAAAUUGUCGCCAUUUCUGAACGACCCUUUAAUAAAUUUAAACGGAAUGAAUCGAUGAUUGAAAUGGAUCGUCUAAACUUCAAGUUUGUGUGAGAACUAUCACGAUCACACAUUUAUCUCUCUCGUAAAAUAGAUAAAAUGACAUUGUACCGAGAACACGUGUGCCUGCAAAAGUUAGAUUGUUCUGUUGGAGAACCGACAAAUCGCUGUACUAGUGCCAGCUGCUCUCCAUCAGAUACUGUACUAACAUCUCAUUCUACCUCCGUAUGAAUGUGAUCGAUCAUCCAUUCUAUUUUUCUUUUUUCUUUUUUUUUAACACUCUCCAAUGCAUCGGAGAAGUAUUACAAGUGUUAUUUAUUAAGGCCUGUUACGAUGAUGAUGAUAAACAAUCUUUUGAAAGAGAAAUUCCAGACUGUACUAGGCAGGAUGACCUGAAGCCACUGCACCUUUGCAAUCAGACAGAGACGUCGGUAUGACAACAUAAAUAGAAGGAUUUGACGUUAACUGUUGUUUCUAUUGAUGCAACAUCCUUAUUGAUACAAAUGCUUCGAAUCUCUUCGUGUUUACGAUACCAAACUUCAAAUUAAUACAUAAAAUAUACGUGUCGCUUUUACGUUUCCUUCGUAUAAACAUGUCUAAAUUAAAAGGGACAAAAUAAAUAUAAAAAAGACGACUCGACUUCUAUCAAAUAUAUUCGGAAAAAUAAAUCGAAGUUGACAAAAUAUAUUCCCCUAGAAAAAAAUGUCGAAAGAUAGUUGAUGAGUGAGCUGUCAACUAAAGUUUUUCCUUCAUCACUACAACGAACUCGGACCAGAAAUCACGCACCACACCUAACAGCCUCCAUACAGAUAAGAUCUUUCUAAGGUUUAUAGGUGUGGUGCAAGAUUUCUCUUUUGGCUUUAGUUACGCAAGAAUUACUUUUCUUGCAAACAGAAAAAAAAAGAAAUUUUUUUUUUCACAAAAAAC